rnacentral:rRNA from 1 species
CCUGGUGUAGCCGGUGAAAAUGCGCAGAUAUCAGGAGGAACAACCGAUGGCGAAGGGCAGGUCUCUGGGGCAUUAACUGACGCUGAGGAGCGUAAAGCAUGGGGGAGCGAACAGGAUUUAGAUAACCCUGGUAGUCCAUGCCGUAAACGUUGGGCACUAGGUGUGGGGGACAUUCCACGUUUUUCCGCGCCGUAGCUAACGCAUUAAGUGCCCCGCCUGGGGAGUACGGCCGCAAGGCUAAAACUCAAAGGAAUUGACGGGGGCCCGCACAAGCGGCGGAGCAUGCGGAUUAAUUCGAUGCAACGCGAAGAACCUUACCAAGGCUUGACAUGGACCGGAAAUGCCUGGAAACAGGUGCCCCGCUUGCGGUCGGUUCACAGGUGGUGCAUGGUUGUCGUCAGCUCGUGUCGUGAGAUGUUGGGUUAAGUCCCGCAACGAGCGCAACCCUCGUUCUAUGUUGCCAGCGCGUUAUGGCGGGGACUCAUAGGAGACUGCCGGGGUCAACUCGGAGGAAGGUGGGGACGACGUCAAAUCAUCAUGCCCCUUAUGUCUUGGGCUUCACGCAUGCUACAAUGGCCGGUACAAAGGGUUGCGAUACUGUGAGGUGGAGCUAAUCCCAAAAAGCCGGUCUCAGUUCGGAUUGGGGUCUGCAACUCGACCCCAUGAAGUCGGAGUCGCUAGUAAUCGCAGAUCAGCAACGCUGCGGUGAAUACGUUCCCGGGCCUUGUACACACCGCCCGUCAAGUCACGAAAGUUGGUAACACCCGAAGCCGGUGGCCUAACCCCUUGUGGGAGGGAGCUGUCGAAGGUGGGACUGGCGAUUGGGACUAAGU